GGGGCGUGUUUUUGUGUUCAAUUUCAGUAUCAUUUCUCCAUCGUCACGUGCUAGGUGACAUUUUCACCUGCGCUCAGGUAUGGUAUUAAUUAGGGUAAAAUUAACUCACCUCUUCUUCUGGAGUUGUAUUAACUGAGUCCAUACUCUGUGAUAACUGUAUUGUAGUCUCCGUGUUUAAAGAGGAACUCGGAACCUCUGGAGUUUGCCUCAUAUUCGAUGUUAGCAACAUUUGAUCAAAGUGAAAGUCACGGCACUAAUUAAAUAACUAUUAUUUUAAAGUAAAUAAAUUAAUACUGGUUUAGUAAAUAUACACACUGUGUCUCCACUCAAUAUAAAUUCCUAUGUUUAUUUAACGACUCUGAAUUGUUGAUUAACGUUAUAAUUUUAUCGUGAACCGAUAAUAUUUUGAAUAACAAAACGUGUGCUGAAAUAUCACUUUCGGUGUUGAAAUGUGCUAGUGCUGAAAGACUCGGGGGAAAUGUCUCGUGAAAAACUUCCGUCACCUACAUGUAUAUUUGCACGUGCUACACUUUUCCCCUUCAAAGUAAAACUACAUUCUGCUUUCAAACACUUGUGCUUUCAACAUAGUAUUUUGUUAUUUAAAUGCACGCGAAUUCACUGUGUACAAUAGUCACGUGGUUUCCCACAAUGCAAUCAACUAUUGGAAAAAUGACCUGUAACCCCGCCCCAUUGUUCUUAGUUAGGUUAGCAUAAAACUUAUUUAUUUUCACUAAAAAUCGAUUAUAGAUUGAAAUCGGAUCAUUUAAGACUAAUGCUUUUAUUUU
rnacentral:lncRNA from 1 species